CCUACGGUGUGCAGCAGUGGGGAAUAUUGCACAAUGGGGGAAACCCUGAUGCAGCGACGCCGCGUGAGUGAAGAAGUAUUUCGGUAUGUAAAGCUCUAUCAGCAGGGAAGAAAUAGCGACCUUUGGGUCGCCAGACGGUACCUGACUAAGAAGCCCCGGCUAACUACGUGCCAGCAGCCGCGGUAAUACGUAGGGGGCAAGCGUUAUCCGUAUUUACUGGGUGUAAAGGGUGCGUAGGAGGAAUGCCAAGUCAGCGGUAAAAUCGCGGGGCUCAACCUCGCUCCGCCGUUGAAACUGGCGUUCUUGAGUGGGCGAGAAGUAUGCGGAAUGCGGGGUGUAGCGGUGAAAUGCAUAGAUAUCACGCAGAACUCCGAUUGCGAAGGCAGCAUACCGGCGCCCAACUGACGCUGAAGCACGAAAGCGUGGGUAUCGAACAGGAUUAGAUACCCCUGUAGUC
rnacentral:rRNA from 1 species